rnacentral:rRNA from 1 species
CCCUAUAACAUGUUUACUUUAGAUCAAGACUUCUUAAAACUAUGGAAAAAGAAAGCUAAGAAGGGUUGGGCCUGGUAGUACCUGGAUGGGAGACCACCUAGGAAGACCAGGUGCUGUAGGCU